ACAAAUUUGCAGCAGACCCUAAUAAUUUAAAGAUCAAAUGCAGGCGACGGGAGCUUCCUAUUCACAUUUGAAGCCCGGAGGAAUGGACUUCCCACACGCACUAAUAAGCAAACUAAUGGCAACCGGCACUUUCACGUUGAUGCCAAGCACACUGGCCUUAAUGGCAGUGCAAAGGCACGCUGCAGCUUCCAAGUCCGCCAAGCCUUCAAGCACAGCGCAGCACUUGCUGGAAGGUGGGCUUCCGGCAACAAGGCUCACCAGCCCUCCGAGAAGGUCGGCGCAUACCCCGAACUUGAGUGUGUCCCUGGGGCAAAAGGGGUUCGCUGGAGGAGCCUUGGC
rnacentral:lncRNA from 1 species